rnacentral:tRNA from 2 species
GCUGCCGUGGCUUAGCCCGGUAUAGCGUCCGGCUGUUAACCGGACGGUCGCAGGUUCGAAAUCAAUAUUUUGCGGAAUAUUGGUGAAUAAAUCCUGCCGGCAGCG